UUGUAAACGUGAAAAGUGAGAAAAUGUUAAACAAUUUCAAGUAUCUACUCUUAUCUUAUCCUCUCUCAUGUAAAGAAAAAUCCAAGGUUUCUGUUAAAAUACAGGUCGUUUUUAACGCGCAAGAUAACAUUUUGCCCAGCGGAACGACCAAUGAUAUUCUACUUGAAAUCUCGGUCUGGUCUCUCUCUCUCUCUCUCUUUCUGUCUCUUUCUCUGCCUUCUCGCGGGAGAAACCAGAAUCCAGAAUACGAGACCGGGAACUCGAUCUCGCCUGCAUCUCAAUUUCAGUUCUCCAUCUGGUGUCACUUCCACUAACAUAUGACAAAGAAGAGAAAAAAAAAAGAAGAAAAAAAUAGAAGAAAAAAAGGAAGAAAGAAAAUUAAACUCCUACGUGAGCGAUUAAUGCGCAAGAAUUUUAUAUUUAUAGAUUAUCGAUUAUAUCCCAUAUCCAUUCUCAUACGAUAAAUACACUGAUAAUGUCUGAACAUAAAAAAAAUAGAAGCACUUCGUAUUUUCCGUAGAAUUUUUACGAUUCAUACGUCGUUUAUUCGAAACUGUACAAUGUUUUUUUUAAUCAAAUAUUCGGAGGAGAUACGAGCGACCAUAAUAGUAUAUAUUUCGGAUUAAUCGAACCAAAGAAAUUUCAUUUGCAAAUAGAAUAUUCGUCACAUUUUUAAGAAGUCGAUAAGAAUUGGAUAAAAAUAUCUUCUCGAUGUCAUUUUGUUUAUAAUUUUUCACAUAUAUCUAUUUGUGUGCAUAUAUACAAUUAUCCUAACAGUAAAAUAAAUUAAAACAAAAAUCACAUAACUCAUCAUGCAUACAUACACAUAUACACAUCUUACCUUAAAUAAUCCAAUCGAACGUUCAAAUUGAUAAAUAUGAAACUUGAUAAUUUAUAACUUAGCAUGUGACAUCGUCUUCGCUGGUAGAGUACCUAUACACUAUGCACUGGUUUUUGAAUCAUGCGACAUAAAAGAGAUGGAAAAGAGAGAUUACUCUCUUUGUAUUCGAAGCCGAAUGGUCAUCCCCGAAUAUUUCAGCUAUUGAAUUUUUGUGUAUAUAG